UGCCAGCAGCCGCGGUAAUACGAAGGUCCCAAGCGUUGUUCGGAAUUACUGGGCUUAAAGAGUUCGUAGGUGGUUAAAAAAGUUGGUGGUGAAAUCCCAGAGCUUAACUCUGGAACUGCCAUCAAAACUUUUUAGCUAGAGUGUGAUAGAGGUAAGUGGAAUUUCUAGUGUAGAGGUGAAAUUCGUAGAUAUUAGAAAGAACACCAAAUGCGAAGGCAACUUUCUGGAUCAUUACUGACACUGAGGAACGAAAGCAUGGGUAGCGAAGAGGAUUAGAUA
rnacentral:rRNA from 1 species